CCUACGGGUGGCAGCAGUGGGGAAUAUUGCACAAUGGGGGAAACCCUGAUGCAGCGACGCCGCGUGAGUGAAGAAGUAUUUCGGGAUGUAAAGCUCUAUCAGCAGGGACGAAAAUGACGGUACUUGAUUAAGAAGCACCGGCUAACUACUGGCCAGCAGCCGCGGUAAUACGUAGGGGGCAAGCGGCAUCCGGAUUUACUGGGUGUAAAGGGAGCGUAGACGGCAGGACAAGUCUGGAGUGAAAUGCCGGGGCUUAACCCCGGAACUGCUUUGGAAACUGUGCAGCUAGAGUGCAGGAGAGGUAGGUGGAAGUCCUAGUGUAGCGGUGAAAUGCGUAGAUAUUAGGAGGAACACCAGUGGCGAAGGCGGCUUGCUGGACUGUAACUGACGUUGAGGCUCGAAAGCGUGGGGAGCAAACAGGAUUAGAUACCCUUGUAGUC
rnacentral:rRNA from 1 species